rnacentral:rRNA from 1 species
AUUGAACGCUGGCGGCAGGCCUAACACAUGCAAGUCGAGCGGAUGACGGGAGCUUGCUCCUUGAUUCAGCGGCGGACGGGUGAGUAAUGCCUAGGAAUCUGCCUGGUAGUGGGGGACAACGUUUCGAAAGGAACGCUAAUACCGCAUACGUCCUACGGGAGAAAGCAGGGGACCUUCGGGCCUUGCGCUAUCAGAUGAGCCUAGGUCGGGUUAGCUAGUUGGUGAGGUAAUGGCUCACCAAGGCGACGAUCCGUAACUGGUCUGAGAGGAUGAUCAGUGGCACUGGAACUGAGACACGGUCCAGACUCCUACGGGAGGCAGCAGUGGGGAAUAUUGGACAAUGGGCGAAAGCCUGAUCCAGCCAUGCCGCGUGUGUGAAGAAGGUCUUCGGAUUGUAAAGCACUUUAAGUUGGGAGGAAGGGCAGUAAGUUAAUACCUUGCUGUUUUGACGUUACCGACAGAAUAAGCACCGGCUAACUCUGUGCCAGCCGCCGCCGUAACAC